AACCCCACAUAUUCAUGAUCUGGCCUCAAAUCAGGUAGGGCUACCCGCUGAACUUAAGCAUAUCAAUAAGCGGAGGAAAAGAAACUAACUAGGAUUCCCUUAGUAACGGCGAGUGAACCGGGAUGAGCUCAAAUUUAAAAUCUGGCGUCUUUCAGGCGUCCGAGUUGUAAUCUAUAGAGGCGUUUUCCGCGCCGGACCGCGUCCAAGUCUCUUGGAAUAGAGUAUCAAAGAGGGUGACAAUCCCGUACUUGACGCGACAACCGGUGCUCUGUGAUACGUUCUCAAUGAGUCGAGUUGUUUGGGAAUGCAGCUCUAAAUGGGUGGUAAAUUCCAUCUAAGGCUAAAUAUUGGCGAGAGACCGAUAGCGAACAAGUACCGUGAGGGAAAGAUGAAAAGCACUUUGGAAAGAGAGUUAAACAGCACGUGAAAUUGUUAAAAGGGAAACGAUUGAAGUCAGUCGUGUGAAAGGUAUUCAGCCGUCUCUGGCGGUGUAUUUGCCUUUCACGGGUCAACAUCAGUUUGAUCCGGUAGAAAAAGGCGGGAGGAAGGUGGCACCCUCGGGUGUGUUAUAGCCUCCUGUCAUAUGUGCCGGACCAGACUGAGGAACGCAGCUUGCCGCAAGGCCGGGGUUCGCCCACGUACAAGCUUAGGAUGUUGACAUAAUGGCUUUAAACGACCCGUCUUGAAACACGGACCAAGGAGUCUAACAUA
rnacentral:rRNA from 1 species